GCUUGUCUCAAAGAUUAAGCCAUGCAUGUCUAAGUAUAAACGAAUUUAUACUGUGAAACUGCGAAUGGCUCAUUAUAUCAGUUAUAGUUUAUUUGAUGGUCCUUACUACUUGGAUAACCGUAGUAAUUCUAGAGCUAAUACAUGCACCCAAACCCGACUCUGCGGAAGGGUUGUGUUUAUUAGUUACAGAACCAACCCAGGCUCUGCCUGGUCUUGUGGUGACUCAUAAUAACCGAACGAAUCGCAUGGCGUCAGCUGGCGAUGAAUCAUUCAAGUUUCUGACCUAUCAGCUUCCGACGGUAGGGUAUUGGCCUACCGUGGCAAUGACGGGUAACGGAGAAUUAGGGUUCGAUUCCGGAGAGGGAGCCUGAGAAACGGCUACCACAUCUAAGGAAGGCAGCAGG
rnacentral:rRNA from 1 species